rnacentral:rRNA from 1 species
CCCUUAGAUGUUCUGGGCCGCACGCGCGCUACACUGAUGCGUUCAACAAGUAUACAACCUUCAUCGAUAGAUGUGGGUAAUCUUUUGAAUGCGCAUCGUGAUUGGGAUAGAUGAUUGCAAUUUUUCAUCUUCAACGAGGAAUUCCUAGUAAACGCAAGUCAUCAGCUUGCAUUGAUUACGUCCCUGCCCUUUGUACACACCGCCCGUCGCACCUACCGAUUGAAUGGUCCGGUGAAAUCUCGGGACGGCGGCUUGGUCGCUUGCGUCCGACUGCUGAAACUUGAUUAAACCAUAUCAUUUAGAGGAAGGUGAAGUCGUAACA